rnacentral:rRNA from 1 species
GACGAACGCUGUCGGCGUGCUUAACACAUGCAAGUCGAACGGAAAGGCCCUGCUUUUGUGGGGUGCUCGAGUGGCGAACGGGUGAGUAACACGUGAGUAACCUGCCCUUGACUUUGGGAUAACUUCAGGAAACUGGGGCUAAUACCGGAUAGGAGCUCCUGCUGCAUGGUGGGGGUUGGAAAGUUUCGGCGGUUGGGGAUGGACUCGCGGCUUAUCAGCUUGUUGGUGGGGUAGUGGCUUACCAAGGCUUUGACGGGUAGCCGGCCUGAGAGGGUGACCGGCCACAUUGGGACUGAGAUACGGCCCAGACUCCUACGGGAGGCAGCAGUGGGGAAUAUUGCACAAUGGGCGGAAGCCUGAUGCAGCAACGCCGCGUGCGGGAUGACGGCCUUCGGGUUGUAAACCGCUUUCGCCUGUGACGAAGCGUGAGUGACGGUAAUGGGUAAAGAAGCACCGGCUAACUACGUGCCAGCAGCCGCGGUGAUACGUAGGGUGCGAGCGUUGUCCGGAUUUAUUGGGCGUAAAGGGCUCGUAGGUGGUUGAUCGCGUCGGAAGUGUAAUCUUGGGGCUUAACCCUGAGCGUGCUUUCGAUACGGGUUGACUUGAGGAAGGUAGGGGAGAAUGGAAUUCCUGGUGGAGCGGUGGAAUGCGCAGAUAUCAGGAGGAACACCAGUGGCGAAGGCGGUUCUCUGGGCCUUUCCUGACGCUGAGGAGCGAAAGCGUGGGGAGCGAACAGGCUUAGAUACCCUGGUAGUCCACGCUGUAAACGGUGGGUACUAGGUGUGGGGUCCAUUCCACGGGUUCCGUGCCGUAGCUAACGCUUUAAGUACCCCGCCUGGGGAGUACGGCCGCAAGGCUAAAACUCAAAGGAAUUGACGGGGCCCCGCACAAGCGGCGGAGCAUGCGGAUUAAUUCGAUGCAACGCGUAGAACCUUACCUGGGUUUGACAUGGAUCGGGAGUGCUCAGAGAUGGGUGUGCCUCUUUUGGGGUCGGUUCACAGGUGGUGCAUGGCUGUCGUCAGCUCGUGUCGUGAGAUGUUGGGUUAAGUCCCGCAACGAGCGCAACCCUUGUUCACUGUUGCCAGCACGUUAUGGUGGGGACUCAGUGGAGACCGCCGGGGUCAACUCGGAGGAAGGUGGGGAUGACGUCAAGUCAUCAUGCCCCUUAUGUCCAGGGCUUCACGCAUGCUACAAUGGCUGGUACAGAGAGUGGCGAGCCUGUGAGGGUGAGCGAAUCUCGGGAAGCCGGUCUCAGUUCGGAUUGGGGUCUGCAACUCGACCUCAUGAAGUCGGAGUCGCUAGUAAUCGCAGAUCAGCAACGCUGCGGUGAAUACGUUCCCGGG